rnacentral:rRNA from 1 species
UACAGAGGUCCCAAGCGUUGUUCGGAUUCAUUGGGCGUGAAGGGUGCGUAGGCGGCGCGGUAAGUCGGGUGUGAAAUCUCGGGGCUUAACUCCGAAACUGCAUUCGAUACUGCCGUGCUUGAGGACUGGAGAGGAGACUGGAAUUUACGGUGUAGCGGUGAAAUGCGUAGAUAUCGUAAGGAAGACCAGUGGCGAAGGCGGGUCUCUGGACAGUUCCUGACGCUGAGGCACGAAGGCCAGGGGAGCAAACGGG